AUUAUUAAAGUAUCAUUAACAAUCAUCAUUCCAUGUUCGCUGGGAUACAUGAAAGUUUAACACAUUAGCAACAAACACCUCAGAAAUGUACAAAAAUUAAUGGAAGCUCCAAACAAACUAUAUACAAAAGAAAUCUAAUUCUUUCACUAUUACACCAACUGUGCAAUUCAAAGAAGAGUGUUACGUAGUCCAUGUUGUUCAUAUAGCGAAGCAAAGCUAUUCUUUCUCAUCAUCUCCCAAAUCACAUCCUUCUUAAAUUGUCUAAUCUUGCCUGUAAAUCAUCAUCUAUGCCACUCUCUUCAUGAGACCCAGUUGACUCAGUUUGGGCAACCUUGUUCUUUGCAGCUGGUGCGGAGACAGCAGCUGAGGGUGCAUUCACCAGCUCAUUAUUGAUGUCAAUUCCAAUCUCAUCAAGCACCUGAUUUACAAGCUCUUCUGUUUCUUCUUCUUCAGCAUCUCCUUCCAAAGCAUCAUCAAUAGCA
rnacentral:misc_RNA from 1 species